rnacentral:snoRNA from 1 species
GAGACUACACUUUCAGAGACCAUUUCUAUUGAAUGUUACCAGAGAAGGUUUCAAAAUAGUGUCAGGCUUCAAAAACCAUGAGGAGUUGUAGUCCUUUCUUCUGAGUGUGAAACUGGCCUGUAGAACCGCUUGGUGGGCCUAGUGUUUGCAGUUGAUUGCUUUUCUCUGCAUUGGAGAAGGAAAUGGC